AACUCCUUGAUAAAUGGAAGUCAGGUUGAGGAUCCAAGAGACUACAAAAUCUGAACUGUACAAUGACGUGUGUUUGCCACUCUAUCAUUUUAAUUACAAGAGAAGCAAUGAGAAGAAACACAAGAUAUAAAGUCAAGUAAUCUUGGAGUACAUGUCGAUCAGUUAUCCAUUUUGAUAAUGACAAUGGUUUUAAAAGGAGCUAUCCCAGAAAUACUGGUUGAAUGGAGGCUGAAUCAACAGAAACCAGUUUGUUCCAUGCAUUGUCACUACCUUGUUCAUUCAUAGUAAUAAAAAUGGAUUUCAUCUA